rnacentral:rRNA from 1 species
UUGAACGCUGGCGGCAUGCUUUACACAUGCAAGUCGGGCGGCAGCGCGGGGGCAACCCUGGCGGCGAGCGGCGAACGGGUGAGUAACAUAUCGGAACGUACCCAGACGUGGGGGACAACUAGUCGAAAGACUAGCUAAUACCGCAUACGUCCUGAGGGAGAAAGCGGGGGAUCGCAAGACCUCGCGCGUUUGGAGCGGCCGAUAUCUGAUUAGCUAGCUGGUGGGGUAAAGGCCCACCAUGGCGACGAUCAGUAGCUGGUCUGAGAGGAUGAUCAGCCACACUGGAACUGAGACACGGUCCAGACUCCUACGGGAGGCAGCAGUGGGGAAUUUUGGACAAUGGGGGAAACCCUGAUCCAGCCAUGCCGCGUGAGUGAAGAAGGCCUUCGGGUUGUAAAGCUCUUUCGGCAGGAACGAAACGGCGGAAUCUAAUACAUUCCACGAAUGACGGUACCUGAAGAAGAAGCACCGGCUAACUACGU